GAGGAAAGGGAGAGAGAGGAGAGGGAGAGGAGAGAGAGGGGGGAGAGAGAGAGAGAGAGAGAGAGGAAAGAGAGGGAGGGAGAAAGAGGAGCGGAGAGAGAGAAGGGAGAGAAAAGGGAGAGAGGGAGAGAGAGGGAGAGCGAGGAAGAGAGAGAAAGGAGAGGGGAGAGAGAAGGGGGAGAGAGAAAGGAGAGAGGGGAGAGAGAAAGGAGAGAGGGGAGAGAGAAAGGAGAGAGGGGAGAGAGAAGAGAGAGAGGGAGAGCGAGGAGAGGAGAGAGAGGGGAGAGAGAAGGGAGGAAGGGGGAGAGAGAGAGAGAGGAAAGGGAGAGAGAGAAAGGGAGAGAGAGGAGAGGGAGAGGAGAGAGGGGGGGAGAGAGAGAGAAGGGAGAGAGAGAGAGAGAGAGAGAGGAAAGAGAGGGAGGGAGAAAGAGGAGCGGAGAGAGAGAAGGGAGAGAAAAGGGAGAGAGGGGGAGAGAGGGAGAGCGAGGAGAGGAGAGAGAGGGGAGAGAGAAGAGAGAGAGAGAGGAGGGGAGAGAGGAGAGGGAGAGGAGAGAGGGGAGAGAGAGAGGGGAGAGAGAGGAGAGAGAGAGGGAGAGAGAGAGGGAGAGAGAGAGAGGAGAGAGAGGGAGAGAGAGAGGGGAGAGAGAGGAGAGGGGGUGGAGAGAGGAGAGAGAGAGGGAGAGAGAGAGGAGAGAGAGGGAGAGAGAGAGGGAGAGAGAGGAGAGAGAGAGGAGAGAGGGGGGGAGAGAGGAGCAGGAGAGGAAGGGGGGAGGGGAGAGAGAGAAGAGAGGGAAAGGGGGAGAGAGGGGAGAGGGAGGGGGAGGAGGGACAAAGAGAAAGAGGGGGAGAAGGGGAGAGAGGGAACAGAGAGGGGAAGAGAGAGGGGAAGGGGGGAGGGGGGGAGAGCGAGAACACCCAUUCCCAUGGCAACCGGGGCCGCCGCGCUGCCGGCCCGGCCUACGUCACGUCCGCCCCCCCCCGCCGAUCGCUUCCGGGUCACCGCCCCGGCGCCUCCCCCGGGGGGUCGGGCCCCCGUCACCGCCGCCUCUUCCUCCUCCUCGUCGUCGGGGGCGGGGGGUGUGUGCCCUUCGCGACCCCGCCGCCGCCGCCUCGUCGUCCUGUCCGCCUUCCUGGGGGGGGGGGGGGUGGGGUGGCCGCAGCCAUCUACUUCCGGGUCGCUCCUUCCCUUCCCUUCCCUCCCCUCCCCUCCCGUCCCCUCCCCUCCCCUCCCCCGUCCCCCCGCCCCCUCCGCCGGGGAGGCUGCGGGGCUGCAGGGGGCCGGCGCCGCUGAGGCUGCCGGGAGCGGCGGAGCUGUCCGUGGUGCGAGGCGCGGGGCCGCAGCGUCUAGCGCAGGAAGAACAGCCGGGGACGGUGGGAGUCCUCGCAGCCUCCGCCGAACGCUUGGCGCACGGUGCCGGGCAGAUCGGGUGCAUUUCCAAAGGGGAGGGAGAGUGGGUCUCCGAUCCCCAUUUUACAGAUGAGGAGAGUGAGGCCCGGAGAAGCCGCAGCGCGCCCCGGACCACCCGGCUGCCCGGUGGCGCGGGCAUCGGACCCCCGCUUGUCCCCGCUCCUGUAUUCGGUCGUAUCUACCGAGCGUUCACCGGGGGCGGAGUAAUAAUCAUGUGGGUAUUUGUUAAGCGCCCACUCUGGGCAGAGCACUGUUCUAAGCGCUGGGGGAGAGACGGGGUCAUCGGGGGGGGGGGGGUCCCGCGUGAGGCUCACAGUCUUAAUCCCCAUUUUACAGAUGAGGGAACUGAGGCCCAGAGAAGCGAAGCGACUCGCCCGCGGUCAGCCGGCUGACGAGUGGCGGAGCCGGGAGUCGAACCCGUCACCUCUGACUCCCAAGCCCGGGCUCUUGCCGCUGAGCCACGCUGCUUCUUACCGUACUGUCCUGAGCGCCCCGGGGGAGUACGUCAUAGCGAUGAACGGAGGCGCUCCUGGCCCGCGAGGCGCUUACGGGGUAGUCCACGCGCUCGGCCGGGCUGCUCGGUCAGUCUAGUGGUAUUUGAUGAGCGCUUAUUGGGUGCCGAGCACUGUAGUAGAAGCCCGUGGGAGAGGCCAGUCGAACGAUGCGACGACACGGCCGGCUCCCGUCCCGGUCCCACCGGAGGGACCCCGAAGCUGUUGUGGUGGCCGCUUUCUCUCUCCCCCGUGAGACUGUAGACUCUCCUUGAGGGUCGGGACCACCGUCUUCAUCCCCCUUUUUCCAGAUGAGGUAACCGAGACCCGGAGGAGUGAAGUGACUUGCCCGAGGUCCCCCGCCAGACGAGAGGGCGGAGCCGGGAUUAGAACCCGGGUCCUUCCGACUCCCAGGCCCGGGCUCUAGCCACCGGACCGCGCUGCGCCGAGCCGGGCCCUGCCCGUUCUACGGUAUCGCGUCCAAGACGGGAAAGGUCUCAGAGCCGGGACGUAAGGCAAACCUUUACCCUUUUUUUGGGGGGGGGGGGGGGAGGGUGGACCUCGAAAGGCCGGCUGUCGCGUUCACCCAAGCGUUGAGCUGCGUUCCGCACACAGGCGCCCGGUACGUAACGGUCGAUCCUUUUGGCUUACCCGGUCAUAAGCGACCGGAGAAAUUUAGCCCGAACCCAGCUUGGCUGUGCGAAUUCAUUGUGAGUUUUUGGGGUCGGGGUGGUUGUGUUUUGUCUUCCUUCGGUCCCCCCCCUCUGGGGAACCGGCCGGCGGUCGGGAGGGCACGGCUGCCCGGGGACGGCAGCGCCGACCCGGUGCCCGGCGGCGGGCUCCGUUCGGGACGGCCCGGCGGGAGCUUGUUAGAACGGAGGACGGCAGGGGACGGCGCCAGAAAUAGCUCCUGCCUCCGUCGCCGGACGAGCAGAGCGGCCGGCCUCCUGCCGCUCCGGAAGAUGCCCCCCCGAAACGCGUCCCCGAGCCCCGGCGGCGUUUCGGACGCGGCGCUGGCCGCGGUCGUUUGACCUCUGCCGGGUCUGGCGCCCGGCAGAUGGCACUUCUUUCAGCGGAGGUGGGAGAAGAUCCCCGAGACGCCGCGUUCUGCCUUCGACUUCCCUGUUUUCUUUUUCGAAACGGCGGCCGGGAGGGUCGGCCGAGGGGGGCCCGACCGGCCCCCGUCUGGUAACGGGGAUCUUCAAGGGGCCGCCCGUCCCGGUUUAGAAAUAUUCACGGGGAGGUUUUCGGGCCGGCGGAGAUGGAGUUUAUAGAUGAAGCGCUUCCGCAGCUGGGAGGCUUCAGGCCCCGGGAACCACAGUCGGUGCAUAUGUCGUCUUGCUGCGGCCGGAUGAACGCUAAGACUCUCGGUCGGGGGUGAAUGAAACGUCGGUCUCGUCUCGAGGGGCGUGGGGAGGAAGGGCCGAACUAGCCGGCGAGGAAACUUCCCCCAGAAGCUGUCGGGGGCAGGAGCAGGAAGGCCGGGGAGGGAAUCGAUGCCUUGGGCUAAAAGGCGGGUGGGGGCCCCGGGGGUGUGAGGAGAAGCGCCGCCAGGGAAGGCGAAAUGGCUCAUCCCCGUCUGCCUCCCUCCCGGGCUUCCCUUUCCUCAGGGCCGGCUGGAGGCCGUGAAAGUCCAGUUUGGGGCAGGAAGGGGUGAAUUUCUCUAGCAGCUGGAGGAACUGGUCUUUAAAAAUGGUGUUUGUGCCGCCCUUACUAGGUGCCAAGCCCCAUACUAAGCGCCGGAGCAGAUAGGAGCUGGUCAGAUGGGACAGGGUCCGUGUCCCACGAGGGGCUCGCCACCUUUAUCCCCAUUUUCCAGAUGAGGUAACCGAGGCCCAGAGAAGCGAAGCGACCGGCCCGGGGUCACCCGGCAGUCGAGCGGCGGAGGCGGGCUUAGGAUCCGAGUCCUCCGGACUCGCGGGCCCGGGCCGUAUCGCGCGGGCCCCGCCGCUUCGAGCCGGGCCCUUCCCCGUUCCACGGUAUCGUGUCGAAGGCUAGAAGGGCCUCAAAGCCGGGACGUAGGGUGACCGACCGUUCCCCUUCCCGAGGGGUGGGGAGGGGCGCGUGGAUUUGGAAGGGCCGUCUUCUGUCGGCGGCGGUCACUUUG
rnacentral:lncRNA from 1 species